AGAAUCAACGCUGGCGGCGUGCCUAACACAUGCAAGUCGAACGAGAAAGUGGAGCAAUCCAUGAGUACAGUGGCGUACGGGUGAGUAACACGUGACUAACCUACCCUCGAGUGGGGAAUAACCUCGGGAAACCGGGGCUAAUACCGCAUAACAUCUACAGAUCAAAUGCGCAAGCAGCUUGAGGAGGGGGUCGCGGCCGAUUAGCUAGUUGGCGGGGUAAUGGCCCACCAAGGCAAUGAUCGGUA
rnacentral:rRNA from 1 species